rnacentral:rRNA from 1 species
GACGAACGCUGGCGGCGUGCUUAACACAUGCAAGUCGAGCGGUAAGGCCCCUUCGGGGGUACACGAGCGGCGAACGGGUGAGUAACACGUGAGCAAUCUGCCCUUCACACGGGGAUAACCACCGGAAACGGUGGCUAAUACCCGAUACGACCACUUCAGGCAUCUGAUGGUGGUGGAAAGUUCCGGCGGUGAAGGAUGAGCUCGCGGCCUAUCGGCUUGUUGGUGGGGUAAUGGCCUACCAAGGCAACGACGGGUAGCCGGCCUGAGAGGGUGACCGGCCACACUGGGACUGAGACACGGCCCAGACUCCUACGGGAGGCAGCAGGGGGGAAUAUUGGACAAUGGGCGAAAGCCUGAUCCAGCAACGCCGCGUGAGGGAUGACGGCCUUCGGGUUGUAAACCUCUUUCAGCAGGGACGAAGCGCAAGUGACGGUACCUGCAGAAGAAGCACCGGCCAACUACGUGCCAGCAGCCGCAGUAACAC